rnacentral:rRNA from 1 species
AUUGAACGCUGGCGGCAGGCCUAACACAUGCAAGUCGAGCGGAGUGGCGGACGGGUGAGUAAUGCUUGGGAAUCUGGCUUAUGGAGGGGGAUAACUACGGGAAACUGUAGCUAAUACCGCGUACCAUAGGAUGAGCCCAAGUGGGAUUAGGUAGUUGGUGAGGUAAAGGCCUACCAAGGCGACGAUCCGUAACUGGUCUGAGAGGAUGAUCAGUCACACUGGAACUGAGACACGGUCCAGACUCCUACGGGAGGCAGCAGUGGGGAAUAUUGGACAAUGGGCGAAAGCCUGAUCCAGCCAUGCCGCGUGUGUGAAGAAGGUCUUCGGAUUGUAAAGCACUUUAAGUUGGGAGGCGUUACCAACAGAAUAAGCACCGGCUAACUUCGUGCCAGCAGCCGCGGUAAUAC